CAGCAGUAGCCGCGGUAAUACAGAGGGUGCGAGCGUUAAUCGGAUUUACUGGGCGUAAAGCGUGCGUAGGCGGCUUCUUAAGUCGGAUGUGAAAUCCCUGAGCUUAACUUAGGAAUUGCAUUCGAUACUGGGAAGCUAGAGUAUGGGAGAGGAUGGUAGAAUUCCAGGUGUAGCGGUGAAAUGUGUAGAGAUCUGGAGGAAUACCGAUGGCGAAGGCAGCCAUCUGGCCUAAUACUGACGCUGAGGUACGAAAGCAUGGGGAGCAAACAGGAUUAGAGACCCCCGUAGUCCCUGUCUCUUAUAC
rnacentral:rRNA from 1 species